UACGAAGGGAGCUAGCGUUGUUCGGAAUCACUGGGCGUAAAGCGCACGUAGGCGGAUGUGUCAGUCAGGGGUGAAAUCCCGGAGCUCAACUUCGGAACUGCCUUUGAUACAGCACGUCUUGAGUCCGGAAGAGGUGGGUGGAAUUCCUAGUGUAGAGGUGAAAUUCGUAGAUAUUAGGAAGAACACCGGUGGCGAAGGCGGCCCACUGGUCCGGUACUGACGCUGAGGUGCGAAAGCGUGGGGAGCAAGCAGG
rnacentral:rRNA from 1 species